rnacentral:tRNA from 1 species
GGAUUGUGGCUCAGCGAUAGAGCGCUCGCCUAGCGAGUCCAAGGCCCUGGGUUCAAUCCUCAGCACCA